CAACCCCCACCCCACCCACCUCUCCCCGUUGCCCACCUCCUGCCCAUGGCGCGCCACCCAAACCCCCCGCGCCACCUCCGGACCUCCCAUCCCUCGUAUCGUCUGGCCCCUCCAUGGGCCGCCGUCGUCGCCCACCCCUCCCCAUGCCCACCGCAGCCCUCCCCACCCCAGGCCAGCGCCGCAUGCCCCUCCCGAGGCCCCUAGCUGCUCGCGCCUCCCCAGAAUAUAAUGUGUUAGCGCGAUCCAGCCGCCUUCCUACGCCCACACCACAUGCUUCAUCCACACCACCGCCCCCCAUCCUUCAUCCUGUGCCGCUGCGUCGCCAUCCAUGUCGGGCCUCCGCCCACAUCUCUCUGAUUGCCAUAUUGAGUCGCCCCGGCCUCGCUCGUCAUCAGAUCGAGUCGCGCCAGCCUCCUUUGUCGCCACAUCGAGCCGCCCUCGCCUCUAUCUGCCGGAUCUGUAGGGCGACGACCUCGCGUGCCUCCAUCGGACCUUGCCAGCUCUGCCCGACCCCGUGCUCCUCAACCGCUCUCCUCCAUAGGCGGUGAGCCCUGGUAAAUCGAUCUGGGGCGCAGACUUCAUAGUCAGCAGCGGCCAUGGCGACCGUCGCUUGUGUCAUCCUCCAACAACUCAAGUGGUCGCCGACCGAUUUGUGGCCUCCCUCCUAUGUUGUCAUCCACCUCCUCAAAUGUCCGCCGACCGAUCUGGACACCAACAUAUAUGAGCCAGGAGGAGGAACUCUCAUCGGGACGGACGCUCGCCGACCAGAUUCUUGUCUCGGUGACCACCACCUCUCGUCGGUGCUCCUCUACAUCAUCAACGAAAACAAAAAGCAGCAUCGGCACUCCCCCAAGCACAGUUCACCUCUCGUUCCUUGAACCAUGGAUGCUUGCUAGAGGGACAGAGGAGGUGCUCUCAUGGAUGGGAGUCAUACCAUGACCAUGCAGUCCACAGCGCACCGCAACAAUCCCACAUAUGUUCACAACAUCCUAUUUUUCAUUUUUGUAAAAACAAUUUGUUGUGCACUUAGUAUUGGAGAAGAGAUAAUCAUUGUUCCUUUAAAAGAAGUUCAUUUGGUUGUUCGAUAAAAUGUAGAGAGGAAAUGAGUGUAAAAUAUGGAUGUGGAUGAAUGCUUGUGUGUAAUGUGUAGCGUGCAAAUAAAAAAUGCAGUGCACAAAAAAGAGAAAAUGCAGUUUCACUAUUUUCUUGAA